GUACGGGGGGAGCAAGCGUUGUUCGGAUUUACUGGGCGUAAAGGGCGCGUAGGCGGUCGUGACAAGUCACUUGUGAAAUCUCCGGGCUUAACUCGGAACGGUCAAGUGAUACUGUCGGACUAGAGUACAGAAGGGGCAACUGGAAUUCUCGGUGUAGCGGUGAAAUGCGUAGAUAUCGAGAGGAACACCUGCGGCGAAGGCGGCACUCUGGGCCGGUACUGACGCUGAGGAGCGAAAGCGAGGGGAGCGAACGGG
rnacentral:rRNA from 1 species